rnacentral:rRNA from 1 species
AUGGAGAGUUUUCAUGACUACAAGAUGGUGAAUAACCGUUCUGUGGUUGAACAAGCUCAUGAGAUACAGUGCAUUGUGAAGGAACUUGAACUCCUUAAAUGUGUUCUACCCGACAAAUUCGUGGCUGGGUGCAUGAUUGCAAAGUUGCCUCCUUCAUGGAGGAAUUUCGCCACAACUCUGAAGCAUAAGAGACAGGAGAUAUCAGUUGAAAAUCUGAUUGCAUCUUUUGAUGUUGAAGAAAAAGCUCGGGCUAAAGAUACCACUGAAAAAGGAGUAUUUCAAUCAUCUUCGUGGUGGAUUGAUUCGGGUGCUAACGUUCAUGUGUGUGCUGACAUCUCCCUGUUUACUUCUUAUCAAGUCGCAAGGGAUUCUUCCGUCCUAAUGGGGAAUGGGUCACAUGCUUCUGUUCAUGGCAUUGCCACGGUGGAUCUGAAGUUUACUUCGGGAAAGAUCGUGCAACUAAGGAACGUGCAGCAUGUCCCUACUAUGAACAAGAAUCUAGUUAGCGGCUCCCUUCUAUGUCGAGAUGGUUUUAAGGUAGUUUUAGAGUCCAAUAAAGUAAUCGUGUCAAGAUUUGGACAAUUUAUAGGAAAAGGCUAUGAGUGCGGAGGCUUGUUCCGUUUUUCUCUUUCAGAUUUUUCCAAUAAGUCAAUAAACCAAAUUUGUGCUAGUGUUAAUGAUGAUGCAAGUAUUUGGCACUCUCGUUUAUGUCAUAUUAAUUUUGGUUUAAUGUCUCGGCUAUCCAGCAUGAGUUUAAUACCGAACUUCACAGUUGCCAAAGGUUCUAAGUGCCAUAGUUGUGUGCAAUCUAAGCAACCUCGAAAGCCUCAUAAGGCUGCCGAGGAGAGAAACUUGGCACCUCUAGAACUCAUACAUUCUGAUCUUUGUGAGAUGAAUGGUGUGUUGACAAAAGGUGGAAAGAGAUAUUUCAUGACUUUGAUUGAUGAUGCGACUAGAUUUUGCUAUGUUUAUUUGUUGCAAACUAAAGAUGAAGCAUUAGACUACUUUAAAAUCUAUAAAGCUGAAGUUGAAAAUCAACUAGAGAGAAAGAUCAAGCGUCUUAGGUCCGAUCGUGGUGGAGAGUAUUUUCCAAAAGUUUUUGAUGAAUUUUGUGAGGAACAUGGUAUUAUUCAUGAGAGGACGCCUCCCUAUUCACCUCAAUCAAAUGGAGUGGCCGAGAGGAAAAACCGCACAUUGACUGACUUGGUGAAUGCCAUGUUAGACACUGCUGGUUUAUCUAAGGCAUGGUGGGGGGAGGCUCUAUUGACUUCAUGUCAUGUACUGAAUAGAGUUCCCAACAAUAAUAAAGAGAAAACCCCUUAUGAGGAGUGGGUUGGGAGAAAACCAUCACUUUCUUAUUUGCGCACUUGGGGAUGUUUGGCAAAGGUCAAUAUUCCUAUUCCUAAGAAACGCAAACUUGGACCAAAGACAGUGGAUUGUGUCUUUCUAGGGUAUGCUCAACGGAUCAUUGCUUAUAGGUUUUUAGUGGUAAAAUCUGAAGUACUUGAUAUGCAUGUUGAUACUAUAAUGGAAUCUCGUGAUGCAACAUUUUUUGAGAACAUAUUUCCUAUGAAAGAUAUGCAUAGCAUUGCUAGAUUUUCUUCUGAGAUAAUUCCUGAAUCUAGUACAACUGAUGAAUAUUUCGAACAAUCACAUGAGGAAGUCCUUGAGAAGGAUAACAAUGAAGUUCCUAGAAGGAACAAGAGACAAAGAAUUGCAAAAUCCUUUGGUGAUGAUUUCAUUGUAUACCUUGUGGACGACACACCCAAGACGAUUGCAGAAGCAUAUGCAUCUCCGGAUGUAGAUGAUUGGAAAGAAGCUGUUCAUAAUGAGAUGGACUCAAUUCUUUCUAAUGGAACUUGGGAACUAACUGAUAGACCAUAUGGUUGUAAACCUGUGGGCUGUAAGUGGGUGUUCAAAAAGAAGCUAAAGCCUGAUGGUACUAUUGAUAAGUACAAGGCGCGGCUAGUGGCCAAGGGCUACACUCAGAAAGAAGGCGAAGAUUACUUUGACACCUAUUCACCCGUUGUUAGAAUGACCACCAUUCGAGUGUUACUUUCCUUGGCUGCCUCUUAUGGUCUUAUCAUUCAUCAAAUGGAUGUAAAGACAACUUUUCUCAAUGGAGAGUUGGAAGAGGAGAUCUAUAUGGAUCAGCCUGACGGGUUUGUGGUAAAGGGUGAAGAGAGAAAGGUGUGCAAGUUGUUAAAAUCUUUGUAUGGUCUGAAACAGGCACCUAAGCAAUGGCAUGAGAAGUUUGAAAGAACUUUGACUUCUGCAGGAUUUGUCAUUAACGAGGCUGAUAGGUGUGUUUAUUAUCGCCAUGGUGGGGGCAAUAGUGCCAUAUUAUGUUUGUAUGUGGACGACAUACUGAUCUUUGGUACAAACAUUAAUGCAAUUAAUGAGGUCAAGUCUUUUCUAUCAAAAAGUUUUGACAUGAAAGAUCUGGGAGAAGCCGAUGUAAUUCUAAACAUCAAACUUAUUAAGGAUGAGAGUGGGAUUACAUUAACGCAAUCUCACUAUGUUGAGAAGGUCUUGAACCGAUUCGGUUUUAUGGAUAGCAAGCCUUUUCCAACACCUUAUGAUCCCAGCGUGACACUCAGAAAGAACAAGAAAGAAACGAGAGAUCAAUUAAGAUACUCUCAAAUUGUCGGUUCACUCGUGUAUUUAGCUAGCGCUACAAGACCAGAUAUCUCUUUUGCUGUGAGCAAACUGAGUAGGUUCAUGUCCAACCCGGGUGAUGAUCAUUGGCAUGCACUAGAAAGGGUCUUGCGCUAUCUGAGAGGUACUAUGAGUUACGGAAUUACUUAUUCAGGGCAUCCUGCUGUGCUAGAAGGAUAUAGUGAUUCAAAUUGGAUCCCCGAUGUUGAUGUACUUUACGCAACAAGUGGGUAUGUAUUUACUCAUGGUGGUGGCGCAGUGUCAUGGAGGUCUUGCAAGCAAACCAUAUUGACGAGGUCAACUAUGGAAGCAGAAUUAACUGCUUUGGACACAGCUACUGUUGAGGUAGAAUGGCUGCGUGAGCUCUUGAUGGACUUGCCGGUUGUUGAAAAACCUGUACCGGCUAUUCUUAUGAAUUGUGAUAACCAAACACGUGAAAAGACGUUUGAAGUCUGUCAGGAAGUUGAGAAACUUCGGAGUAAUAACUGUUACGUAUAUACAAACAGACAAAAACCUGGCAGAUCCCUUUACGAAGGGACUAUCACGAAAUGUGAUAGAUAUUGCAUCGAGGGAGAUGGGUAUGAGACCCAUAGCAGUCUUGAAAGAACACACCUAUAUGAGUUCUGA